AGAACGAACGCUGGCGGCAUGCCUAAUACAUGCAAGUCGAACGAACACUUCGGUGUUAGUGGCGCACGGGUGCGUAACGCGUGGGAAUCUGCCCUUGGGUUCGGAAUAACAGUUGGAAACGACUGCUAAUACCGGAUGAUAUCGAAAGAUCAAAGAUUUAUCGCCCAGGGAUGAGCCCGCGUAGGAUUAGCUAGUUGGUGAGGUAAAGGCUCACCAAGGCGACGAUCCUUAGCUGGUCUGAGAGGAUGAUCAGCCACACUGGGACUGAGACACGGCCCAGACUCCGUACGGGAGGCGGCAGGU
rnacentral:rRNA from 1 species